rnacentral:lncRNA from 1 species
CUAUUCAUGAGAUCAUCUGAUUACACUCCAUCAACAGAAAGCACUUUUUCUAUUAGCAUGGAUGGUGUAAGGUUUCAAAGUUAGCUUCACUCUGAGGUUACUCUGCCUUAGUCCUUAGCAUUCUUAAACUGCUUUUGUCAACUUUGAAAGAUGAUUUUAAAAGUCAGCCAAGAAGAACUACUGAAAAUUGUUUGCACCCAUUAUAUAGUAAAGAUGUGUUUCUUGCUCCCUUCCCUUCUGGAGACCGGGACAUCUGGAAGCCAUGCUCCUGGAGAGAGAGGCAGAAGACUGCAGAGGAAGGGGAUGAGUGCCGGAGCCAGCCAGCCAGGGCCUCCAAUCCCAGCUGCACUGCGUGGUGUGAUUCCAGUAGCCAAGGAUUAGAGGUAACAGCUGGCUAGUGACUAGCACAAAGUUAACACUCAAUAGUUACGAGAAUUUUGUUUCUGAAGAUUAAAAUUAAAAGAAGUAUCUCUCAACUAUCCCAUACAGUGACCAUACUGUAUGUAGAUUUGUCUUUGUAUAUUUGUCUUUGAACUCAGGACACUCUUAAGGGAUACUGAUUGUGGACACUCUUAAGGGAUACUGAUUGUUAAGAUCUAUGCGGAGUUUUGAGAAAAGAAUGCUUUUUUUAAAAAAAUGAAAUAAUCUCAGUGAAGUUGUAUUUUAAGUACAGAGAAUAUUACAUUUUGCUGAAUUAUUUGCAAGUUGAAAUUGGUGUGUAACUUGAGCAUAACUAAAAACUCAAAGAAAGGAGCAAGAGAGAAAAGCUGAAUAUAUAAUAAGGAUGGGAUAAGCAACAGUGUGAAGUUCAUGAAAAGGCAAGAUGGAUGAAAUUCAAGGAACAGGUGGGAAGCUCAGCAUCAUGGGUAUGAAGUAAAAGAACACUUUGGGGAGGUUGCUUCACCUAGUGGUUUAGUUACCGUGUCCCAUAUCCUGUUGCCUGGGUUUGACUCUCAUCUUCCUGCUAAUCUGCACCCUUGAAAGCAGCGAGGAUGACUCAAGUAGUGGGUUCCUGCUGCUCAUGUGCAACAGCUAGUUUGAAUUCCUAGCUGUUACCCCGGCCCUUGUGGAUAUUUGAAAAGUGAACCAGUUGCAUGGCUUGCGCUCUCUCUCUCUCUCUCUCUCUCUUUCUCUCCCUCUCUCACUCAUAAAUUUUGUAACCUUGAGAAAUAAAAAAGAACACUCAGUAUCA